CACAGGUGAUGCAGUCUCUGAGGUUUGCUCUGCAGCCAGCUGUGGAGGACAUUUCUGUCUCUUGGGAUUUACCAAAGGGAGUGUCCUCCACCAUUCUGUCUCCACCCAUUACUGCUAUGUUUCAGGGUCAGAGGUCACUGAUUUAUGCUCAACUCACUGGACAGACUUCAGAGGCAACAGAUGGCUGUGUGACGGUGAAGUACAGCCUGGCAGGUCAUCCCUCUCAGAACCAGCUACACUUCAAUCUCAAACCUGCAGAGGACACUGGAUUAACAGUCCACAGGUUGGCUGCGCG